UUAUCAUUAAUGAAGCAUUAAUACUUUAGUGGUACCGAGUGUUUUUCAUGGCAAAUAAAACCAUCCUUUUGAAUGAUAGCCAAUACGAUAUAUGAAAGAAUACAAUCAUAAUUGAAAAAAAUUGACAUCCUCUUGAAAAGAGGAUCUGCGCACUUUUCUCUCCUCGUACCAGCCCUAGGUCGGCUUCCUAUUUAACCAGCAAACAGGACGUGCAACGAGGAGCCCCAACAGUUAAUAUGACAGCGACCUUUGCACUCUUCACGCCGUCAACGCUUAGACCAAGGAAAAAUUUGUUGACUAACCAACUAUUGCUAUCUUGUUCUGAAGAGAAAAAAUAACACAUCUACUCAUGAUAUUAACUGAAUCUUCAACUACGGUGACAAUGAAUUCUUACCAAACUGGGUUCUAAAUCUAUUGGCAUUAGAUACCUUUCUUUGAAGUAACCUAAUACAUAUUUUCGAAACCGAGGGAAUAUUACCAUCUUCGUGAAAUUAUGAGCCAAUUCUUUGAGUUAUAGACGCACCAAUAAAGAGCUAAAAUGUUGCCUCAAGCUUAGGCAUUAUAAUCUUUGCGC